AACGAACGCUGGCGGCGUGCUUAACACAUGCAAGUCGAACGGGAUCCAGAGCUUGCUCUGGUGAGAGUGGCGCACGGGUGAGUAACGCGUGGAUAACCUGCCCUGGUAUCUGGAAUAACAUCUCGAAAGGGGUGCUAAUACCGGAUAAGCCUACGGAGCCCUUGGGCUCUGCAGGAAAAGGUGGCCUCUAUUUAUAAGCUACCGUAUCAGGAUGGGUCCGCGUACCAUUAGCUAGUUGGUAGGGUAAUGGCCUACCAAGGCUACGAUGGUUAGCUGGUCUGAGAGGAUGAUCAGCCACACUGGAACUGAGAUACGGUCCAGACUCCUACGGGAGGCAGCAGUGGGGAAUUUUGCGCAAUGGGGGAAACCCUGACGCAGCAACGCCGCGUGAGUGAUGAAGGCUUUCGGGUCGUAAAGCUCUGUCAGAAGGGAAGAAAUGAGACUGGCUAAUAUCCAGUUUUCUUGACGGUACCUUCAAAGGAAGCACCGGCUAACUCCGUGCCAGCAGCCGCGGUAAUACGGAGGGUGCAAGCGUUGUUCGGAUUUAUUGGGCGUAAAGUGCGUGUAGGCGGUUUCUUAAGUCUGAUGUGAAAGCCCUGGGCUCAACCCAGGAAGUGCAUUGGAUACUGGGAGACUUGAAUACGGGAGAGGGUAGUGGAAUUCCUAGUGUAGGAGUGAAAUCCGUAGAUAUUAGGAGGAACACCGGUGGCGAAGGCGGCUACCUGGACCGAUAUUGACGCUGAGACGCGAAAGCGUGGGGAGCAAACAGGAUUAGAUACCCUGGUAGUCCACGCCGUAAACGAUGAGAACUAGGUGUUGCGGGUAUUGACCCCUGCAGUGCCGCAGCUAACGCAUUAAGUUCUCCGCCUGGGAAGUACGGUCGCAAGACUA
rnacentral:rRNA from 1 species